UACGUAGGGUGCGAGCGUUAAUCGGAAUUACUGGGCGUAAAGCGUGCGCAGGCGGUUUUGUAAGUCUGUCGUGAAAGCCCCGGGCUUAACCUGGGAAUUGCGAUGGAGACUGCAAGGCUUGAAUCUGGCAGAGGGGGGGUAGAAUUCCACGUGUAGCAGUGAAAUGCGUAGAGAUGUGGAGGAACACCGAUGGCGAAGGCAGCCCCCUGGGUCAAGAUUGACGCUCAUGCACGAAAGCGUGGGGAGCAAACAGG
rnacentral:rRNA from 1 species